UUACUUACCUGGCAGGGAGCUACUAUGAUCAAGAAGGUGUUUUCAGAGGCAAUGCUAAGCUGUUGCACUUGGGGUGUGCGGACUUUUUUUUUUUAAUUUCCCCAAAUGCAGGAAACACAACUGCAUAAUUUGUGCAGUGGGGAUUGCAUUUAUGUUCUCCCCUA
rnacentral:snRNA from 1 species